CUGGCGAAGAAAUUUGGGACAAGAAACUAGAGUUAACUCGCCAUUCAUCGAGAGACAGAAGGGGAACCAACCGCACGCGUCGUUAGAUGUAACAAAUGCAACACGGUCGAGAAGGGUGCACAGAGGGAAGAAGGUAAACGAGCGUCCGAAUGCGUGAGUGUGGCCAGGAAAAAAGGUCGCCAACUUAACGAGGGCUGGACCAGCCGGAACCAGAGAUGAAUUCUUGCAUGCCUUCCAUUGAAACACCCUGCCGGAAAUUACACUUUUUACUUUUCCCCACCUCUGCGAAAUUGAGUGGGUGCCUAGAGCCUGAUGAGAAGCAUCCGCAAGGAAAGCCAACGUGCAACGCGAACUCCGCCCGCUGAAUGUUUAAAUGCACGGCAGGACUUUAUCUCGGAAUUGUACCCAGCAAGGGAUGAAAUCUGCGGCUGCCGGCAGCCAACACCAGCCACCCGGAAAUCUGCGUGAUUAAGUGCACCCUUCGUUGGACGAUAAUUGCUCUACAAAUACGCGAAAUUUAUUGCGAAUUCACCACUAGACACCGUGGACACGUCCCUUUUGCAACCUACCACGAAUUUCCCCGGAUCGACUACAUCUGACGGUCAAGUUAAAUAA